UACGUAGGUGGCAAGCGUUGUCCGGAAUUAUUGGGCGUAAAGCGCGCGCAGGCGGUUUCUUAAGUCUGAUGUGAGAGCCCACGGCUCAACCGUGGAGGGUCAUUGGAAACUGGGAGACUUGAGUGCAGAAGAGAAGAGCGGAAUUCCACGUGUAGCGGUGAAAUGCGUAGAGAUGUGGGGGAACACCAGUGGCGAAGGCGGCUCUUUGGUCUGUAACUGACGCUGAGGCGCGAAAGCGUGGGGAGCGAACAGG
rnacentral:rRNA from 1 species